rnacentral:rRNA from 1 species
AGUGAACGCUGGCGGUAGGCCUAACACAUGCAAGUCGAACGGCAGCACAGUAAGAGCUUGCUCUUACGGGUGGCGAGUGGCGGACGGGUGAGGAAUACAUCGGAAUCUACUUUUUCGUGGGGGAUAACGUAGGGAAACUUACGCUAAUACCGCAUACGACCUACGGGUGAAAGCAGGGGAUCUUCGGACCUUGCGCGAUUGAAUGAGCCGAUGUCGGAUUAGCUAGUUGGCGGGGUAAAGGCCCACCAAGGCGGCGAUCCGUAGCUGGUCUGAGAGGAUGAUCAGCCACACUGGAACUGAGACACGGUCCAGACUCCUACGGGAGGCAGCAGUGGGGAAUAUUGGACAAUGGGCGCAAGCCUGAUCCAGCCAUACCGCGUGGGUGAAGAAGGCCUUCGGGUUGUAAAGCCCUUUUGUUGGGAAAGAAAAGCAGCAGGUUAAUACCCCGCUGUUCUGACGGUACCCAAAGAAUAGGCACCGGCUAACUUCGUG